UCAUGCUAGAUGGGGACGUAGCGGAGCCCUGUAACCCACAAUCCGCUCUAGUGGGGUUGAAUUCCUUACCGAGGCUUUGCACCUGUUUGGUCAGCCCUUUGUAAGUGGUGUUGACGUCUGGGUCUUGCGCAAUGGAAACCUGUGAACCAUGUCAGGUCCGGAAGGAAGCAGCAUUAAGCAGUGCUUUCCAUGUGCCGCGAGGUCGCCUGGGCUGAGCUAACUGCAGAGGUAACGCAGAUGGAUGUAUCGCCGGAGUAAGGUGCAUGG
rfam:Listeriaceae bacterium FSL A5-0281 contig000031, whole genome shotgun sequence.